rnacentral:rRNA from 1 species
AACGAACGCUGGCGGCAGGCUUAACACAUGCAAGUCGAACGGGUGUAGCAAUACAUCAGUGGCAGACGGGUGAGUAACACGUGGGAACCUUCCUAGGGGUACGGAACAACUCAGGGAAACUUGAGCUAAUACCGUAUACGUCCGUGAGGAGAAAGAUUUAUCGCCCUUAGACGGGCCCGCGUCGGAUUAGCUAGUUGGUGGGGUAACGGCCAUCCAAGGCGACGAUCCGUAGCUGAUCUUAGAGGAUGAUCAGCCACACUGGGACUGAGACACGGCCCUGACUCCUACGGGAGGCAGCAGUGGGGAAUCUUGGACAAUGGGCGCAAGCCUGAUCCAGCCAUGCCGCGUGAGUGAAGAAGGUCUUCGGAUUGUAAAGCUCUUUUGCCAGGGACGAUAAUGACGGUACCUGGAGAAUAAGCCCCGGCAAACUUCGUGCCAGCCGCCGCCGUAA